GGUCGUCCUCUGCCUCCGGGAAGCGCGGCUUGGAUGGGCUCGCCGGGGCCAGGCUGGGCCGGGGCUGGGCGCGCGGUCACCCCCGGCACUCAAGGACUUCCCGCACCAACCCAUGCUGAGGAGGGGCUUGGUGGCAGCCUCAGGAAACACUCCCAUCGCCAGCCACCGCAGCAGGGAAAGCACCUGGCCUCACCAGCUCCAGGCUUCCAGAAGGAGCUGCCCUCCUGACUCGCAGCCGUCGAAUGUGCUUAGCUCCCAGCACCUGGGCCACUCAUGGACAGCACUCGCACGUGUUCCGCCCCGCCCCCCACCUCCAUGGCUCAGCCGGGCCUUGGCACUCCUCUCUCCAUGUGCCUGCCUGUCUCUGCGGACUCCUGGCUAGGGCUCAGCUGCCCAGUAGCCUGUGGAAGGGGGAACUGGUGCAGUUAUCAGUCAAUCCUCCCACAGGGCUGGGAUUACACACGUGAGCCACCGCACCCGGCAGUCAUUGCUGAGUCUAAGGACAUCUCUGCAUGGGUGCUGUUGUGCCUUCCUGUCGAUGACAUAUCCAUGUCACCCACACACACCUGUAUGCUGACAAACACGGACAUCUAUGUACAUUGGAGAAACCUGGGGAAAGCCCCAGGCUAGCCAUAGCCCUCCCAUCCAGCCAGCCAGUCCCAUGCUCUGUGCAACCUCAGAACCUUACUGAGCCACACAUCACCUGGUGGGUUUUAAUUCUUUAGUGGCGUUUUUGAAGAGUCUGUUCCUAUUUUCCUUAGACUGUCCCACAGUCUGGAUCCUUGGUUAAACGUUUGGGGCAAUGAUGAAGGGAGGUGACAAGUCAGCAGGAGGUGCAGGACAUCAGCGUGGCCAUGAGUGAGGACGUGAAGUUGAACCACUUGGUCAGCUUUGGGUCUGCUGAAUUCCUCCAUGGUCAAGGUCCGUGGCUCCUUGUGGAGUAAUUAAGGCAUGCGUGAGGUCAUUCUCUGAGACCACAAGCAUCAAGUUUUCCCAAUAACCAUUUGCCCAACAGUUUUAGCAUCAGUUAAUGAGUAGAUUCAGUGUUAAACCGUAAAGCUGCAAAAUCAUGGCUUCCCAAGUUUAUUGUUUCUUCUACAUUUAUAGUCACUUUCGGUCAAGCUUCCCCUUCUUUAAAAAGUUAUUAAAUAUUUGGGAGGCUGAGGCAGGAGAAUGGCGUGAAUCCGGGAGGCAGAGCUCGCAGUGAGCUGAGAUCACGCCACUGUACUCCAGCCUGGGAGACGGAGCAAGACUCUGUCUCAAAAAAAAAAAAAAAAAAAAAA
rnacentral:lncRNA from 1 species